CCUANGGGAGGCUGCAGUCAAGAACCUUUCUCAAUGGGCGAAAGCCUGAAGAAGCGACGCCGCGUGAAUGAAGAAGCCCUUCGGGGUGUAAAAUUCUUUUAUCGUUGAACAAUUUUUGAGCGUAGACGAUGAAUAAGGACCUGCUAAACUCGUGCCAGCAGCAGCGGUAAUACGAGUGGUCCAAGCGUUAUCCGGAAUUACUGGGCGUAAAGGGUCCGUAGGGGGUUUAGUUAGUCUUGCGUUAAAUUCCGAAGCUCAACUUCGGAGCCGCGCCGGAAACGGCUAAACUAGAGAACAUGAGAGGCUGAUGGAACGCACGGUGUAGGGGUGAAAUCCGUUGAUAUCGGGCGGAACACCAAAGGCGAAGGCAUUCAGCUGGCGUGUUUCUGACCCUGAGGGACGAAAGCGUGGGGAUCAAAAAGGAUUAGAUACCCUANUANUC
rnacentral:rRNA from 1 species